UUGUUGGUAAGGUAAAAGCUUACCAAGGCUUCGAUCAGUAGCUGGUCUGAGAGGACGACCAGCCACACUGGGACUGAGACACGGCCCAGACUCCUACGGGAGGCAGCAGUGGGGAAUUUUGGACAAUGGGGGCAACCCUGAUCCAGCCAUGCCGCGUGAGUGAAGAAGGCCUUCGGGUUGUAAAGCUCUUUCAGCCGGAACGAAACGGUUACGGUUAACACCCGUGACUACUGACGGUACCGGAAGAAGAAGCACCGGCUAACUACGUGCCAGCAGCCGCGGUAAUACGUAGGGUGCGAGCGUUAAUCGGAAUUACUGGGCGUAAAGCGUGCGCAGGUGGUUUUGUAAGUCAGAUGUGAAAGCCCCGGGCUCAACCUGGGAACUGCGUUUGAAACUACAAGACUAGAGUGUGGCAGAGGGGGGUGGAAUUCCGCGUGUAGCAGUGAAAUGCGUAGAGAUGUGGAGGAACACCGAUGGCGAAGGCAGCCCCCUGGGUCAACACUGACGCUCAGGCACGAAAGCAUGGGGAGCAAACAGGAUUAGAUACCCUGGUAGUCCAUGCCCUAAACGAUGUAACUAGUUGUCGGGCCUUUACGGGCUUGGUAACGUAGCUAACGCGUGAAGUUGACCGCCUGGGGAGUACGAUCGCAAGAUUAAAACUCAAAUGAAUUGACGGGGACCCGCACAAGCGGUGGAUUAUGUGGAUUAAUUCGAUGCAACGCGAAAAACCUUACCUACCCUUGACAUGUAUCGAAGCCCGCAGAAAAGCGGGGGUGCCCGAAAGGGAACGAUAACACAGGUGCUGCAUGGCUGUCGUCAGCUCGUGUCGUGAGAUGUUGGGUUAAGUCCCGCAACGAGCGCAACCCUUGUCAUUAAUUGCCAUCAUUUAGUUGGGCACUUUAAUGAGACUGCCGG
rnacentral:rRNA from 1 species